CACGAAACACCCGAAUUUAGACUUUCGCUUCAAUAAUUCCACCUCUGGCCAUUCAGCUUUCGUGAAUAAUCUGAUAAUUUACAAAAAUUUAUGUAAUAACGUGUUUAUCAUGGUGUCAUUUAAAUGAGUAAAAAGUAGGCAAACCACCCAAAUGACUGACAAGAAAAGAGAUUAAAUAAAUUGCCAUGCAUCCAUGGGCUGGAAUGGUAUUUAGCCAUCAAAAGCAGAAUUUUUGGUGGCAUGGGAAAUGCUCAUAACAUACUCCUACUUGGCAAAAGCGUAGGACUGUCCCACAGCAUGCUGGCAAUCAUCAACACUUUCUGACAACAGCUUCGUGGAGCUAUAAACGACAAGACUGCCAAACACAUGUGAAGUCUGCAACUUGAUGAGUUUUGACACGUGAUGCACCUGUGAACCGGCACUGAAAUAAAGGUGGGGAACACGCCUAUUGCCCAGAAGUUCUCUCGUGCCCCCUGCCCACCAGACACCAAUCUGGCACCACAGAAGAGCUGGCACUUUGCAGAGUUUCACAUAAGUGGAAUCACACAGAAUGGACUCUUUGCCUGGCUUCUUUCACUCAGUGUGACUAUUUUGAGGUUCAUCCGUGGUGCUGUGUAUCGAUAGUUGACUCCUUUUCUUGCUGAAUAGGACUCAGUGGCAUGGAUGCGCCACAACCGCUUAUCCAUUUGCCUGUUGGUGGACAUUUGGGUUGUUUCCGGUCUCGGGUUAGUACAAGUAAAGGCACCAUGAACUUUCGUAACUGAAUCUGUGUGGACACGCACCGUCCUUUCUCCUGGGUAAAUGCCCUAGAGUGGGAAGUUUGGCUCACAUGGUGGAUGAAUGUUUAACUUUUUAAGAAACUCCCAAACUGAUUUCCAUAGUGGUUGUGCCAUUCCAUGCCCCCUGGCAGCUCCUCCACAUCCUGUGGGCGGCCUCCGUCACCUCAGCCACGCUCUUAGAGCUUCUGGAGAGCAGAAGGAUGAAUUUGGGAGUACUUGUCCUGCUCGGUUUCCCAGAAGAGUUGUGUACGAUUGGUGCUAUUUCCUCUGCGUGUUUGGUGGAACUCCCCAUCGAGGCCAGCUGGAUGCGGAGUUUUUUUUAGUAGAUAUUAUGCGAUUUAGGCCAUCUACUUCCUCGUGAGUGACUUCUGGUAGUUUGUGUCUUUGAAGAAAUUUGUCUAUUUCAUCAAAGUUGUUAAAUUUAUUGGCAUAAAAUUUUUAAUAAUAUCAUCUUAUUUUCCUUUAACUUCUGUAGAAUAUUCAGUGAUGUCGCCUACAUUGGUCGUUUGUGUCUUCCUUUUUUUCCUGAUCAGUCUGCCUAGAGGAUUAUCAGGGUGUUUUUUUUUUUAUCUUCUUAAAGAAUCAGCUUCGGGUUUUGGUGAGUUUCUCCGUUGUUUUUCUGUUUCCUGCGUCAUUGAUUUUUCACUCUGGUCUUCGUUACUUCCUUUCCUCUGUUUUCUUUGGGUUCAAUUUGCUCCUCUUCCUCUAGUUUCUCAAGGUGAAAACUGAUGUCAUUGGUUUGAGACCUUGCAAGGGAAAUCUCUGCCUAUAAUUGUGGACGUGUCUGCUCUGUGCAGCUCUAUCAGGUUUUGCUUCCUAUGUUUCGAAGGUGUGUUAUCAGGUGCAUAAACAUGAGGUUUGUAAUGUCCAUGACGAAUGGGUGCAUUUGUCAUGAUGAAAUGACCUUCUUUUCCCGGCGGGAUUCUUUGCUCCCAAACCUACUUUACGUGUUGCUAACAGAGUCACCGCAGCUUCGCUCUGGUUGGUUACACGGCGACCUCGUUCCAGCUCACCCGUCUGUCUCUGGACAUCUAAAGUGCCUUCUUGUGAACUGCACACGCUUGGGGCUUGCUUCUCCACCCCACGCAAACAUCUGCCUUUUACAGGGUCUCUGGACCAGUCUCGUUGGACGUGAGUGUUGACAGCGUCGGGGUUAAGUCUGUCGUCUUGCUAUUUGCUUCUACUUGUCCCAUCUGCUACUUGUACCCUUGUCUCUCUUCUGCCUUUUUUGGAUUGAGCAUUACGGAGCAGGAAGAUCCAGCUACCAGUCUCAGGUGAAGGUUCCCACCACGCAGAGGCUGGAAAGACCCUCACAGCCCCCACAGGAGAAGCCCCAGACCUCGGCCCACGGCACCCUCUACAGAUGAGGCUCAGGGAGGUUCCUGACUGGCCCAAAGGGGUCUCAGCUGUGAAGCCUGAGCGUUCUGCCAUCGCAUCCACAGCACUGCCAUUGAAUCAAUCCACAGCUUGGGGUGGGGGCCACCACCCUCCAAGCUGGGCUCCAUGCUGCCUGGUCACACGUAGAGCAGGGCUGGGCAGUGGCGGGCCCCAGCGCCUGGCGCGGCAGGCAGGCGACAAACUCCUUGACAUCAAAAUGGCAACAAAAGCCUUGUGUUGGCUCCAGUCAGAAUUUAAACCAGAAACAGACUUUCUAAAGCUGCAGAGCCUUGGCCCUCGCGCCGGCUUCCUCGACCCCGUGACUCGGCCCUCAGCUCCCUUCUCCACCUCGCCUGCCAGCCCCUCAAAGACGAACCAGCUUACGAAGCCACCCGCGAGUCUCAAGGCGCAUCCCAAGGCCAGGCCACUUCAGCACCAAAGCCCCAGCUUCUCAGGGCGCUGCCAUCAGGGCCGGCAUGGAGGAAGGGAAACGAAGAGCGACUGGAGGGGCCUCAUCUGCCACACGGGGCAGGCCCCGCCCUCCCUGCAGGGUGUGGACACGCUGCCCGUCCCCAGUGGGCUAAGGACCCCUUCCUCCUCUGCAGCAGCAGCGACACGGGCACUGUGCUCGGCCAUGACGGCUGGAGCCGCUGACCUCGGUCACACGAGACGUUUGAGAAAGACAGACACUGGCCCCCUCGCCAGGUGCAGCCUCCCCCUAGAAAUUAAGCACUUCCUUCCGCUGUCCCACUGACUCCUCAUGUGACCCCAGGACGAGGGCGCUACCUUCCCACAGCAAGGCUCAGAGAGGGCGCACAGCUGGUAAUGGGGGGGUGGAGACUAGGAGCCCAAGGUUCCAGAACCCCCGAGGGUGAGCCCCCUCAUCCUCGGGUGACGGACAUGGGGCCACGCACAUGGGAGCCUUCGGGGAGCGUGGCUGAGAGCUCCUUGCCCACCAGCUGUGCAUGCUGGGUUGCCCACCUCCUGUUGGGUGCUGGACGCUAGGAGCUGGUAAGUCUGCUCUCGUCCAACACCACGCUCUUCAGAGACACGCCCGGAAGCAGGAUGUCACACCAGCACCCAGCCGUCUGCACCACACUUGCUUGAUGGCAGGCCACACAGCCACGUGGCUUGUCAGCCUCAGGCACUUACUA